UACAGAGGGGGCAAGCGUUGUUCGGAAUUACUGGGCGUAAAGGGCGCGUAGGCGGCCAACUAAGUCAGACGUGAAAUCCCCAGGCUCAACCUGGGAACUGCGUCCGAUACUGGAAGGCUUGAAUCCGGGAGAGGGAUGCGGAAUUCCAGGUGUAGCGGUGAAAUGCGUAGAUAUCUGGAGGAACACCGGUGGCGAAGGCGGCAUCCUAGACCGGCAUUGACGCUGAGGCGCGAAAGCCAGGGGAGCAAACGGG
rnacentral:rRNA from 1 species